UACGAAGGGGGCGAGCGUUGUCCGGAAUCAUUGGGCGUAAAGCGCGUGUAGGCGGCCCGGUAAGUCCGCUGUGAAAGUCCAGGGCUCAACCCUGGGAUGCCGGUGGAUACUGUCGGGCUCGAGUCCGGAAGAGGCGAGUGGAAUUCCUGGUGUAGCGGUGAAAUGCGCAGAUAUCAGGAGGAACACCAAGGGCGAAGGCAGGUCUCUGGGCCAUAACUGACGCUGAGAAGCGAAAGCAUGGGGAGCGAACAGG
rnacentral:rRNA from 1 species